rnacentral:other from 1 species
GCGGAGCUGCGGGGUACGUGUUGGAUCAAAUCCCGGGGCCUUAUCGAUCCCAAAGGGAGCUGUCCCUGAUCUCGUCCGUGGACUUGAUCACACGGUGCCCACCUACAUUGUAGGUACCCGGGUUCGAUAUCCCACGGCUUUUGUGGCCCCGCA